rnacentral:miRNA from 1 species
UCGGCUGUGGCGUGACUGUCCCUCUGUGUCCCCCACCAGGCCCACUGCUCAGUGGAGCGUGGAAGAUGAGGAGGAGGCCACCCGCGACCCAUGCCGGCA